GUGCUCACAUUGCCAGCACAUACAUGAAAACUGAAUGAUGCAGAGGAGUUUAACAAAGCUCCUUUCAAGAAUGACACACAUUCGUGAUGCAUUCCUUAUUUUA
rnacentral:snRNA from 1 species